rnacentral:rRNA from 1 species
CCUACGGGCGGCUGCAGUGGGGAAUAUUGCGCAAUGGGCGAAAGCCUGACGCAGCGACGCCGCGUGAGGGAUGAAGGUCUUCGGAUCGUAAACCUCUGUCAGCAGGGAAGAACGGUCACUGUGCUAAUCAGCAGUGAAUUGACGGUACCUGCAAAGGAAGCACCGGCUAACUCCGUGCCAGCAGCCGCGGUAAUACGGAGGGUGCGAGCGUUAAUCGGAAUUACUGGGCGUAAAGCGCUCGUAGGCGGUAUGUCAAGUCAAGGGUGAAAUCCCCGCGCUCAACGUGGGAACUGCCUUUGAAACUGGCAAACUGGAGUGUGUGAGAGGAUAGCGGAAUUCCAGGUGUAGGAGUGAAAUGCGUAGAUAUCUGGAGGAACAUCAGUGGCGAAGGCGACUAUCUGGCACAUAACUGACGCUGAGGAGCGAAAGCGUGGGUAGCAAACAGGAUUAGAUACCCGAGUAGUC